UACAGAGGGUGCGAGCGUUGUCCGGAAUUAUUGGGCGUAAAGGGCUCGUAGGCGGUCUGUCGCGUCGGUAGUGAAAACUCAGGGCUUAACCCUGAGCCUGCUUCCGAUACGGGCAGACUAGAGGUAUGCAGGGGAGAACGGAAUUCCUGGUGUAGCGGUGAAAUGCGCAGAUAUCAGGAGGAACACCGGUGGCGAAGGCGGUUCUCUGGGCAUUACCUGACGCUGAGGAGCGAAAGUGUGGGGAGCGAACAGG
rnacentral:rRNA from 1 species